CCCCAAAAGAACAAAUUUUAAAACCCUAAACAAGGUUAUUCGGCCACUUAAAAGAAAAGCAGAAAAAACUGUCUUUCCCCUCUCCUCUUGCGCCGUUCUCAGGCUAAAACCAUGCCUAGCCUCUCUGGUAUCCACAAAACCGAUGAGAACGACGACGGGGUCACCGAGGUGCAACCAUUGUACGGAAGAGGUCGUUCGUAUGGUGACGUGGAAAGGGCCAGAGGCACACGCGUGGUGGGCAUGCGAGGAGGCGUGCGUCGCUGGGACUGUGUGGAGGCAGGAGCGGCGUCCUAGGGUUUGCUGAAGAAUUUAUGUUAUGGGCCUGUUGGGCUAGGGUUUAGUGGGUUUUGGGCCAUACUGGGCCAUUGUAAUGGACUAUUUAAUUGAUUUUGGGUGUUUUGCUGGUAUGGGCCCGGGCAAAAAUGGGCUAUUACAAUAUACGUAGUAUAUGUAGUAGAAAACGAUAAAAUGUCGACAACCUUCUGGUUAAGCAUUAUUCCAUUUUCCUUGGUUUCCUAAAUUCUAUCCACGUCGCUAUUCCUUUUUUUUCCCCAUUUUUGACAAUAUGGGUAAUUUACCAGAACAACUCUCUAAUCUCCUUCCUAAUUAUAUUAGAAUUUUGGUAUCCUUUUUCAUCCUAAAGAAGAAUUGUUUCCCCCAUAUCUUCCCCUUUUCUUUUUCAUCAUUUUCUUUUUGCAAAUAAUUUCUUUCCUUGCUAAAUUUGUUGGCACUCUCUCGAAUCAAAGAUCAAUCCCAAGCAUGAAUCGUUCUUUCAAUGGUAGCAAAUCUUGCAAUUGUUAACCCCGUUUCUCUCAUCCAAGUUCAGACUUGAUUUAGGUACCCCGGACUAGAUCCAAGCACGAAGAGCGACGUUUGUAUGUGUUAUUUUACAAGAAAAUUGAGACAAAAUCAAGCUUACGUUAGACCAUACAACCAGCCACACGGACAUUGUGUGAAUCACACAGCCCCUUCACACGGUCAUGUUUCCCUGAAACCCUAGGUUUUUCACUUCUCACAAAGCCUAGGACCCUCCACACGGCCUACCACACGGCCAUGGCUCCCCUAUAGGUUGAAAUUUUGAAAUUCCACACGGCCACAGUCUCUUACAUAGCCUAACCACACGGCUGUGUACCCCGUCCACACGGCCCAGGGCUCUCCAUGCGAUUGUGUGUCCCCUAUAACUCAAAAUCUACAAUUUUAACCCAAAAUUCUAUGUUUUGAUCAAAUUAGUCCCUAAAUAAGUUUCAAAUUAGUUUCAAUGAAUUAACUAAUGCAUUUAGGUCCCUAAUAAAAUGAAAUAUGUUAGAUUCCCUAAUUGAUCGAAUUAAUGUGGUAAUUAUUUGCUUAUAUAUAUUUGCAUGAAUUAUGAACAA